rnacentral:lncRNA from 1 species
CUUUCCAACCCAAGGAUUGGCUUUUAUAAUCUCAGCAGUAAAAGGAGAAAACAAUGAAAAUUAGAGCCAUUAAGAAACUUAAAAGACAAAAUCUUAUUGGCCUGUGAGGGCAUACAGAGAAAGUGUUAUUUGGGGGCUGAGUCAUGAGUUUUACAACUUCAGGACUUCAUGUAGAUUACCAUUGUCCACUACAAAGAUAAUGUGAGCCAUGUAAUGUAGUUUUAAAUUUUCUAGUACCUGUAAGAAAAAUAAAAAGGUUUAAUUUUAAUUAUAUAUUUAAUGCAACAUAUCAAAAAUGUGUCAUUCUAUAAUCAUUAUAGAAGAACAGUAAGGUAUUUUACAUUCUUUUGAAUUAAGUCUUUAACAUUUGGUGUACAUUAUAUUUAAGCACAUCUCAAUGGCCUAAAUGUUUACUGGAAAUUCUUGCUGUUUAGAUUCCAUAAAAUGUAUAGC